CGGGCCUACCAAGGCGAUGAUGCAUAGCCGAGUUUGAGAGACUGAUCGGCCACAUUGGGACUGAGACACGGCCCAAACUCCUACGGGAGGCAGCAGUAGGGGAAUCUUCCACAAUGGACGCAAGUCUGAUGGAGCAACGCCGCGUGAGUGAAGAAGGGUUUCGGCUCGUAAAGCUCUGUUGUUGGUGAAGAAGGACAGGGGGUAGUAACUGUACCUUUUGUUUGACGGUAAUCAAUUAGAAAAGUCACGGGCUAACUACGUGCCCAGCAGCCGCGGGUAAAU
rnacentral:rRNA from 1 species